CCUCUACCACUUCAGCUGGAAGGCUAUUCCAUGCAUCCACUACUCUCUCAGUAAAGUAAUGCUUCCGGAUAUUAUUUUUAAACCUUUGCCCCUCUAAUUUAAGACUAUGUCCUCUUGUGAUAGUUUUUCUUCUUUUAAAUAUAGUCUCCUCCUUUACUGUGUUGAUUCCCUUUAUGUAUUUAAAUGUUUCUAUCAUAUCUCGUCUUUCCUCCAAGUUAUACUUCACUAAAAAAACAAAAUGUGCAAUGGACGAGCUAUUUAAUUUUUUGGUCCAUUAGGAAAACCUGUGCAGGUAAUUCUAUUCUAUGUGCUAAUACAUGUG